CAUUGCUGAUGUGAUGCUUCUGGUGUUGCUUGGCAUGGAAUAGAUAUAUUUGAGAAAACCCAAAAGCGAAAUUAACGUGACUGUACGUAUGUACAUGGGAUUACAUUUAUUUAUUAUAUGUUGAUUUAUAAAAAUAAAUUUCCAUCCCAGGGCGAUUUAUAAUUAAUUUCGAUUAUGAAAUCGUACCUUGAGCAUACAUGGUAGGACCCGAAAGAUGGUGAACUAUGCCUGAUCAGGUUGAAGUCAGGGGAAACCCUGAUGGAGGACC
rnacentral:rRNA from 1 species